rnacentral:rRNA from 1 species
AAAGGAAUUGACGGGGACCCGCACAAGCGGUGGAUGAUGUGGAUUAAUUCGAUGCAACGCGAAGAACCUUACCUGGUCUUGACAUGUACGGAAUCUCUUAGAGAUAGGAGAGUGCCUUCGGGAGCCGUAACACAGGUGCUGCAUGGCUGUCGUCAGCUCGUGUCGUGAGAUGUUGGGUUAAGUCCCGCAACGAGCGCAACCCUUGCCAUUAGUUGCCAUCAUUUGGUUGGGCACUCUAAUGGGACUGCCGGUGACAAACCGGAGGAAGGUGGGGAUGACGUCAAGUCCUCAUGGCCCUUAUGACCAGGGCUUCACACGUCAUACAAUGGUCGGUACAGAGGGUAGCCAAGCCGCGAGGUGGAGCCAAUCCCAGAAAACCGAUCGUAGUCCGGAUUGCACUCUGCAACUCGAGUGCAUGAAGUCGGAAUCGCUAGUAAUCGCAGGUCAGCAUACUGCGGUGAAUACGUUCCCGGGUCUUGUACACACCGCCCGU